CCUACGGGCGGCAGCAGUGGGGAAUAUUGCGCAAUGGGCGCAAGCCUGACGCAGCGACGCCGCGUGAGGGAUGAAGGUCUUCGGAUCGUAAACCUCUGUCAGCAGGGAAGAACGGUCACUGUGCUAAUCAUCAGUGAAUUGACGGUACCUGCAAAGGAAGCACCGGCUAACUCCGUGCCAGCAGCCGCGGUAAUACGGAGGGUGCGAGCGUUAAUCGGAAGUACUGGGCGUAAAGCGCUCGUAGGCGGUAUGUCAAGUCAAGGGUGAAAUCCCAGCGCUAAACGUGGGAACUGCCUUGAAACCGGCAAACUGGAGUGUGUGAGAGGAUAGUGGAAUUCCAGGUGUAGGAGUGAAAUCCGUAGAUAUCUGGAGGAACAUCAGUGGCGAAGGCGACUAUCUGGCACAUAACUGACGCUGAGGAGCGAAAGCGUGGGUAGCAAACAGGAUUAGAUACCCCAGUAGUC
rnacentral:rRNA from 1 species